CAGAAGUCACAUAUUGAUGUCAUUUUUGCAGCAGGAAAAUCAAUAUUGUAAUUUAUCACUUCCUAUUUGCAGGGCCUCUUUCCAAUGGCAAAAUUAUUUUGGAAAUCCAUACAACAGUCCAUGAGCUACUAGAGGCUUCUCUCUCAGUAUCCUUAUGAAUCAGGGACAGGGAUACAGAUUUUGGGCCAGAAAGCACUGUGGACAAAGACCAGCGAGGACAAGGGCUGUUGGGCCCGUCCCUGGAGGUCGAUGGGUUCCAGGAUCAGAAGUCCGUGUGGGCAGGUGACCCCCUAGGUAAACGUCACAGGAGCAUCAAAACUAAAACCACAAGGCUACUAAACAGCUUCCUCCCACAGGCAGUCAGACUGCUAAAUAGCUGCUCUACCUGACUGCUUUGGACACUUUUAACUUGCACUGGACACUUAUAAAUUGAUUUUAACCGACAUGUGGCUGUUGUGUUUUACUAUUUAUUGAUAUGUUUAUUAUUUAAUGUUGUGUUUGUUAUGUUAUGAUU